UGAAUACGAGACGCUAAGGCGUCGAAGUAGUGUAUGUCAUACUUCCAAGAAAAGCUUGCACUGUCAUAGAUAAAAAACGCCUGUACCAUAACCGACACAGGUGGGUAGGUAGAGUAUACUAAGGGGCGCUAGAUAACUCUCUCUAAGGAACUCGGCAAAAUAACUCCGUAACUUCGGGAGAAGGAGUGCCUUAUUAUUAAGGCUGCAAUAACAAGAUCCAAGCAACUGUUUAUCAAAAACACAGGUCUCCGCUAGGUCGUAAGACGAUGUAUGGGGGCUGACGCCUGCCCAGUGCCAGAAGGUUAAAGAAGUUGGUUAGCAUUUGCGAAGCUGAUAACUGAAGCCCUGGUGAACGGCGGCCGUAACGAUAACGGUCCUAAGGUAGCGAAAUUCCUUGUCGGGUAAGUUCCGACCCGCACGAAAGGCGUAAUGAUUUGGAUACUGUCUCGGAGAGGGGCUCGGUGAAAUAGACUUGUCUGUGAAGAUGCGGACUACCUGCACCAGGACAGAAAGACCCUAUGAAGCUUUACUGUAACUUGAAAUUGAAAUUGGACUUUAUUCGCGCAGCAUAGGUGGGAGGCGUUGAUUAUAAUCUUGUGGGAUUAUUGGAGCCAUCAGUGAGGUACCACUCUUGUAAUGUUAGAUUUCUAACUUUGAAUCAUUAUCUGGUCAAAGAAGCAGUUUCAGGCGGGCAGUUUGACUGGGGCGGUCGCCUCCUAAACGGUAACGGAGGCGUACAAAGGUUUCCUCUGAACGGUUAGAAAUCGUAUCUAGAGUGUAAAGGCAUAAGGAAGCUUGACUGUGAGACCUACAAGUCGAGCAGGGACGAAAGUCGGUCUUAGUGAUCUGACGGUACUGAGUGGAAAGGCCGUCACUCAACGGAUAAAAGUUACUCUAAGGAUAACAGGCUGAUCUCCCCCAAGAGUUCACAUCGACGGGGAGGUUUGGCACCUCGAUGUCGGCUCAUCGCAUCCUGGGGCGGUAGUACGUCCCAAGGGUUGGGCUGUUCGCCCAUGAAAGCGGUACGCGAGCUGGGUUCAGAACGUCGUGAGACAGUUCGGUCCAUAUCCGGUGUAGGCGUUAGAAUAUUGAGAGGAGCCUUCUUAGUACGAGAGGACCGAGAAGGACAUACCUCUGGUGUACCAGUUAUCGUGCCAACGGUAAACGCUGGGUAGCUAUGUAUGGAUUGGAUAACCGCUGAAAGCAUCUAAGUGCAAGCCCACCUCAAGAUAAGUA
rnacentral:rRNA from 1 species